rnacentral:rRNA from 1 species
CCAUGCAGUCGAGCGGUAAGGCCCUUCGGGGUACACGAGCGGCGAACGGGUGAGUAACACGUGAGCAACCUGCCCCCGACUCCGGGAUAAGCGGUGGAAACGCCGUCUAAUACCGGAUACGACCGGCCGCCUCAUGGUGGCCGGUGGAAAGUUCUUCGGUUGGGGAUGGGCUCGCGGCCUAUCAGCUUGUUGGUGGGGUAAAGGCCUACCAAGGCGAUUACGGGUAGCCGGCCUGAGAGGGCGACCGGCCACACUGGGACUGAGACACGGCCCAGACUCCUGCGGGAGGCAGCAGUGGGGAAUAUUGCGCAAUGGGCGAAAGCCUGACGCAGCGACGCCGCGUGGGGGAUGACGGCCUUCGGGUUGUAAACCUCUUUUACCACCAACGCAGGCUCCCAGUUCUCUGGGGGUUGACGGUAGGUGGGGAAUAAGGACCGGCUAACUACGUGCCAGCAGCCGCGGUAAUACGUAGGGUCCGAGCGUUGUCCGGAAUUAUUGGGCGUAAAGAGCUCGUAGGCGGCGUGUCGCGUCUGCUGUGAAAGACCGGGGCUUAACUCCGGUUCUGCAGUGGAUACGGGCAUGCUAGAGGUAGGUAGGGGAGACUGGAAUUCCUGGUGUAGCGGUGAAAUGCGCAGAUAUCAGGAGGAACACCGGUGGCGAAGGCGGGUCUCUGGGCCUUACCUGACGCUGAGGAGCGAAAGCAUGGGGAGCGAACAGGAUUAGAUACCCUGGUAGUCCAUGCCGUAAACGU